AUCAUUUGGUUUCCAUUAUUAAUAAUUAAACAUUUAUUGUAAUUCAUCAUUGAACAGAGCUAAGCAAAUAUUGACAGCUGCUAGCACAUGUUCAAGUCAGCCAUUUUUGUUCAAAAAUUUUUCUUAUUGCGGCGAAAAUCAAUUGGGCACUUUUUAAAAGAUGCAAUUUAUUGGAAAACAGCUAAUGAAGCAUCCUGGGAGUGCUCCUGAGGCACUUAUUUACAUUCAGAGGAAAGGCCGAUUGCGACAUGGAAUUAAACAGCAGGGACAUGAAACUCGAUAUAUUUCGUUAUUUCGAAGGUGGGUAACAGUGCAAGUGCCACAUGAGGUGCAAGUGUUAAAAUGUGAAGUAAAUAAAUACAAUGAAUAAAGAAAUUUAUCAAAAAUA